UGGGACGCUGAACAGCUAGUGAAGGUUCAU
rnacentral:piRNA from 1 species